AUUGAACGCUGGCGGCAUGCCUUACACAUGCAAGUCGAACGGCAGCACGGGAGCUUGCUCCUGGUGGCGAGUGGCGAACGGGUGAGUAAUACAUCGGAACGUACCCUGAAGUGGGGGAUAACGUAGCGAAAGUUACGCUAAUACCGCAUAUUCUGUGAGCAGGAAAGAGGGGGAUCGCAAGACCUCUUGCUUUAGGAGCGGCCGAUGUCGGAUUAGCUAGUUGGUGAGGUAAAGGCUCACCAAGGCGACGAUCCGUAGCGGGUCUGAGAGGAUGAUCGCCACACUGGGACUGAGACACGGCCCAGACUCCUACGGAGGCAGCAGUGGGGAAUUUUGGACAAUGGGCGCAAGCCUGAUCCAGCCAUGCCGCGUGAGU
rnacentral:rRNA from 1 species